rnacentral:rRNA from 1 species
CAGCAGCCGCGGUAAUACGCUCCAAUAGCGUAUAUUAAAGUUGUUGCCGUUAAAAAGCUCGUAGUCGAACUUCGGUCUCUGUCGGUCGGUCCGCCUUCUUGGUGUGUACUUACUCGACGGAGACUUACCUCCUGGUGAGCUGCGAUGUCCUUUACUGGGUGUCGUAAGGAACCAGGACGUUUACUUUGAAAAAAUUAGAGUGUUCAAAGCAGGCCUACGCCCGAAUACAUUAGCAUGGAAUAAUAGAGUAGGACGCGCGUUCCCAUUUUGUUGGUUUCUGAGAUCGCCGUAAUGAUUAAUAGGGAUAGUUGGGGGCAUUUGUAUUCCGUCGUCAGAGGUGAAAUUCUUGGAUUGCCGGAAGACAAACUAUUGCGAAAGCAUUUGCCAAGGAUGUUUUCAUUGAUCAAGAACGAAGGAAGGGGGAUCGAAAACGAUCAGAUACCGUUGUAGUCUCUUCUGUAAACUAUGCCAAUUGGGGAUCAGCCUAGGAUUUUUUAUGACUAGGUUGGCACCCGAAGAGAAAUCUUUAAAUGAGGUUCGGGGGGGAGUAUGGUCGCAAGGCUGAAACUUAAAGGAAUUGACGGAAGGGCACCACCAGGUGUGGAGCCUGCGGCUUAAUUUGACUCAACACGGGGAAACUCACCAGGUCCAGACACAAUAAGGAUUGACAGAUUGAUAGCUCUUUCUUGAUCUUGUGGUUGGUGGUGCAUGGCCGUUCUUAGUUGGUGGAGUGAUUUGUCUGGUUAAUUCCGAUAACGAACGAGACCUUAACCUGCUAAAUAGACCAGCCGGCUUUGGCUGGCUGCUGUCUUCUUAGAGGGACUAUCAGCGUUUAGCUGAUGGAAGUUUGAGGCAAUAACAGGUCUGUGAUGCCCUUAGAUGUUCUGGGCCGCACGCGCGCUACACUGACAGAGCCAGCGAGUCUACCACCUUGGCCGGAAGGCCUGGGUAAUCUUGUGAAACUCUGUCGUGAUGGGGAUAGAACAUUGCAAUUAUUGUUCUUCAACGAGGAAUACCUAGUAAGCGUGAGUCAUCAGUACGCGUUGAUUACGUCCCUGACCCUU